rnacentral:rRNA from 1 species
GAUGAACGCUGGCGGCGUGCCUCAUACAUGCAAGUCGAACGCUGGCGCUCUAGCUUGCUAGAUCGACGGAGUGGCGAACGGGUGAGUAAUACAUAAGCAACCUACCCACGAAGACUGGGAUAAUCUCUGGAAACGGGGACUAAUACCGGAUAGGUAAUCGGAAGGCAUCUUCUGGUUAUUAAAGGUUAAAAACCCUGGUGGAUGGGCUUAUGGCGCAUUAGUGAGGUGGUGAGGUAACGGCCCACCAAGACGAUGAUGCGUAGCCGGCCUGAGAGGGUGAACGGCUACAUUGGGACUGAGACACGGACCAGACUCCUACGGGAGGCAGCAGUAGGGAAGAUUCGGCAAUGGGGGCAACCCUGACCGAGCAACGCCGCGGGAGUGAAGACUGCCUUCGGGUUGUAAAGCUCUGUUGUAAGAGAAGAACGGUAGAUAGAGAAUAUCUAAGUGACGGUACCUAACCAGAAAGCCACGGCUAACUACGUG